GAUGAAGAACGUAGCGAAAUGCGAUAAGUAAUGUGAAUUGCAGAAUUCAGUGAAUCAUCGAAUCUUUGAACGCACCUUGCGCCCUUUGGACAUUCCGAAGGGCAUGCCUGUUUGAGUAUCAUGAACACCUCAACUCUCACGGCUUGUCCGUGAUGAGCUUGGACUUUGGGGGUCUUGCCGGCCUGUGGUCGGCUCCUCUCAAAUGGAUCGGCUUGCCAGUGUUUGGUGGCAUCACAGGUGUGAUAACUAUCUGCGCUUGUGGUUUUCCAUCAGAUAACCUUCAGUGAUAUGGAGGUUCGCUGGAGCUCACAAAUGUCUCUCCUUAGUGAGGACAGCUCUUUGAACGUUUGAUCUCAAAUCAGGUAGGACUACCCGCUGAACUUAAGCAUAUCAAUAAGCGGAGGA
rnacentral:misc_RNA from 1 species